rnacentral:rRNA from 2 species
AAUGCAGUCGACGCGUCUCCGUUGAUGAUUUUAGGUGCUUGCACCUGAAAGAUUUAACAUUGAGACGAGUGGCGAACUGGUGAGUAACACGUGGGUAACCUGCCCUUGAAGUAGGGGAUAACACUUGGAAACAGGUGCUAAUACCGUAUAACAACCAAAACCACCUGGUUUUGGUUUAAAAGACGGCUUCGGCUGUCACUUUAGGAUGGACCCGCGGCGUAUUAGCUUGUUGGUAAGGUAACGGCUUACCAAGGCGAUGAUACGUAGCCGACCUGAGAGGGUAAUCGGCCACAUUGGGACUGAGACACGGCCCAAACUCCUACGGGAGGCAGCAGUAGGGAAUCUUCCACAAUGGACGAAAGUCUGAUGGAGCAACGCCGCGUGAGUGAUGAAGGGUUUCGGCUCGUAAAACUCUGUUGUUGGAGAAGAACAGGUGUCAGAGUAACUGUUGACAUCUUGACGGUAUCCAACCAGAAAGCCACGGCUAACUACGUGCCAGCAGCCGCGGUAAUACGUAGGUGGCAAGCGUUGUCCGGAUUUAUUGGGCGUAAAGCGAGCGCAGGCGGUUUUUUAGGUCUGAUGUGAAAGCCUUCGGCUUAACCGGAGAAGUGCAUCGGAAACCGGGAGGCUUGAGUGCAGAAGAGGACAGUGGAACUCCAUGUGUAGCGGUGAAAUGCGUAGAUAUAUGGAAGAACACCAGUGGCGAAAGCGGCUGUCUGGUCUGUAACUGACGCUGAGGCUCGAAAGCAUGGGUAGCGAACAGGAUUAGAUACCC